rnacentral:rRNA from 1 species
CGUAGGGUGCAAGCGUUAAUCGGAAUUACUGGGCGUAAAGGGUGCGCAGGCGGCUCCGCAUGUCAGGCGUGAAAUCCCCGGGCUUAACCUGGGAAUGGCGCUUGAAACUACGGGGCUAGAGUAUGGCAGAGGGAGGUGGAAUUCCACGUGUAGCGGUGAAAUGCGUAGAGAUGUGGAGGAACACCGAUGGCGAAGGCAGCCUCCUGGGCCAAUACUGACGCUCAUGCACGAAAGCGUGGGGAGCAAACAGGAUUAGAUACCCUGGUAGUCCACGCCCUAAACGAUGAUGACUAGUUGUUGGAGGAGUUAAAUCCUUUAGUAACGCAGCUAACGCGAGAAGUCAUCCGCCUGGGGAGUACGGUCGCAAGAUUA